UUCCAAACAUCAAGCCAAUGAAGCCCACAGAUCAAAGUGUUUUUGGGUUUGGGACCGGGUGGAGUUCACAUGGAUGGUUGCAUUUGCAGUUCCAUGAGGUUAUCUGCAACUGCUGGAAGUAAAGAGGGUCUUCCAUCUCUUAAUACCACGUAGCUGGAGCCGCCAGUCUUCCGAAUCCUAGAAAUUCUUCUCAGGAUUUCCAAAAAAGCCAUCUUAUGUUCAGAUCCUUUCAGUCGCGAUCUGAACCUAGCAACAAGAUCCACUGUAGUCACGCGCUCAUUUUGCAACAAAAAAGCCCUGGUCUCUUCUUCAGUAACAGGUGAUGUCGAUCCUGAUCUCUUCUUUGUUGAAUUUUCAUCAUCAAAAUUUUCUUUGUUCAAUGGCAUUGGAAAGUCCAGGGCAAGUAAGCAUGGAGAUCGUUUCCUUCCAUGCUGUUUGCCCAAAUUGUUAUAC
rnacentral:misc_RNA from 1 species